AAGUUGGAAACGUGUGGGCAUAUGUCUUGUUUCGUUUUGUUUCUCUAGAAACCCUCUCUAUCCAUCAUUAAAUCUUUGCCAUUGAGUUCAAACAGAAAAAUACAGCCUCCUUUCUGGAUUAAAUUAAAACAAUUACCUGAUGUGACUCUUCCCCUUAAAGUAAUCCCAUUAUUGGGGUUUUCUUUUUGUGCUUAUAUUUCACAACUUCGUGUAUUGCUUACCCUCCUCACUUGCAAAAAUAUGGAUAAAUUUCAGGGUUUUGUGCUCCUUUUUUUGCUUGUAAUCUCAGUUUCUUCAUCCCAGAUUCCCAUGGUGUCGGCAGCCAGGCCAUUUUCUAUCCUGCCUGAUCAACAAAGAUACUCGAAGAUUUUUGCGACUCUUGGAGUUGUUUGCAAGUGUUGCGAUGGAAGUGGAGGUGAAUGCUCCACUACUUGGACCCAACCUUGCUCUAAGCUCAAGUGCCUGCCCUGGAAACUACAUUAGGAUUUUGGGUUUUCCCCAUUUUCCUUUCUCUUUUUUCCCUCACCUUCUUGGCUGUACUUCAUAUGUACAUGUAUCAUCACUAAUACAGCGCAAUCUGUUGGAUCAAA